rnacentral:sRNA from 1 species
GUGGGGAUGAUCUCCAGGGCCCGCGAGCUGCCUCGCUCGGAGCCAGGCCACAUGCUCAUGCACUACGUUGCUAUCCAGCACAUUUACAUGGACUCAACAAUAAACAAACGAACGUCCUGUCCUCACCGGGCGGCAAAAUGUGACAGAGAGCGUGCCGUCAACUUCAUUGCGAAAAGAGAGAGUGGAAACUGGCGGGAGUGUGUGUGUGUGUGUGUGGCGAGAGCAGGUGAAUGAGAGCGCUUAAGGGUUGGGUUAUUUUUGGGGAUGGACCGCGUUCGUGCCACUGCACAUGCGCUUUGGCUGACAUUUCCAACCCGUUGGCAUUUCGUCAUCGAUGCCACCCACCCCCGCCAUGACGCAACCCACCUCCCCUCCUUCGCUAUCGCAGACUUCUUCGACUACCGCAAUUUAUGUGCACACACACAGUCACAGCAGCAGAGACACAUGUGUGUGUGUAUCUUUAUUGAAAUACAGGAAGAAGGUCUCGCCUCCACUUCACAGACGCAGACGUGGUCUCCGCUUCCCACGCGAAGGUGUAGAGUCUCCAGGUCCUCGUCUCUCCGCUUUGCACUCUGCUAGACGUCCGGUGCUCUGGCCCCAGAAGAAACGAUUACAGUUUAAGGUGUAACUAAUGAUAACAUACAAUGUUAUAAAUAUUAUUUAUGCCAAGGAGGGGGGGAAAAAAAAACUAUAAAAAAAAUUGUUACACGCAAUUAUUUACAGUCAUUACUUAUAGACUUAUGUUCUAGGGAUCUACUUAAUAUAGAAAACAUAUCAAAUAUCGUAUUCCAUGCAGAACGGAUGCAAUAACGAAAUCAGGAAGGAAGCAUCGGAAUAAACGAAAAUCUAGGAACAGAAUCGAACAGAUAUACAUAUGUAUGUACCUAUAUAAGUAUGUAUGUUUUUGUUUUUGUUUUCCUUUAAAUACAGCUUAAAGACAAAGAAAGACUCGGAUUACAGUUUAAGGAUUUUGUUUCUUUAAUCUGGAGCUGCCUCAUGCUUUUGCCUUUUCUUUUGCUACGUUUCGUACGUUCCUCCUACGAUCCUCUUACGUUUUCUCGGUUUUUAACAAUAUGUACAUUCCUCACGAUGGGGCCUAAAAUAAUCUUGCUUGCCUUACAACAAUUUAUAUAUCAGAUAUAUAUAUAUAUAUAUAUAUGUUAUGUUAUGUGUAUAGUAGUCUAUGAAUUGUAUAUGUAUCGGGGGAUAUUAUGCUUAUUUGCUGUCGUCUUCCGGCUGCCCUUCAUCGGGGCAUUUUUAUCUUCUCUUCGCACUCGAAUUAUACAUUAAAAGUCGGGGUAAGAAUCUCUUGAACAAUAUAACACGUUUUCACUUAACUACGAAAUACGAAGUACGAAACAGAGAGGGAUAAGGAGAAAGGACAAAAGAGAAAGCCUAUUCAAAUUGUA